UUUUAUCUUGAUUAAAGUCCCAAAAUUUCAUUUUUAUGUUUGUUCCUCUUGUAUUUGGAGGCAUAUCAUGAAAGAAGUGGCUGUGGCCAGUGUCAGAGGAGUUAGUGCCUAUGUUCCCCUCUAGGAUUCUGAUGGAUUCCUGUCU